rnacentral:lncRNA from 1 species
CAAGCACGCAAGCAAGCGAACAAAUGAGCCAGAGGGCUUGCUCUCUUGCCCUCCUUCCACAAGUGAGGGCCCAGCGAAGGCAGCCUCCUGUAGCCGGGAGGAGGCUGCACCCUGCAGCUCCUCCCCCGCCCCGCCCCCCAGCUAUAACCCAGUGUGUGCUGCUCAGACUGCCCGCCCUGUGGGCCUUCGUUAGGUGGCCCACGUCGGGCAGGAGACUCCCGGGCACCAGACACUGCUCCUGAGCAUGUCUUGUCCUGUCUGCCAUGGGCUUUACCCAAGCACUGCUUUUCCCCCACUGAACAGUCAAGUUUUUCUCUCAAGAUCAACCUAAGCAGUGACCAGGGCUGGAGUCUUAACCGUGCCCCAUGUCCCCAAGCCAGGGACACAGCCUCUGAGUGCCUCAGCCUCCACUCCGCGAACCAUGGACGGUCUCGGAGCCUCAAGGUGGCUGUGCGGAGGCCGAGCGGGUGGAGAACUCAUCGCGGUGCCAGGUGCAGUGAGCUGCUGUGCGGGAUGGAAUUCAGGAUUUUUCGCAGCAGAGGCAGGCGCGGUGCCACUAAGCUAAAUCCCGGCCCUGACUAGCUCCGAAUUUACACAACCUGCAUCACCCACCCCCCACAAGGCUAAAGACAAGGCGUGAGAGAUUUACAGGGACCUUCUACUUCCCAGACACGCCCCACAAGCUUCCAGUCACAGCCCCAAACCUGUGGACACCCUGGAUCCAGCAGUGCAGCCCCAAAGCGGACACAGUCAUCUCAGGACAGCCGAUUGGCCUGUUGGCUGAUCAGGACUUCUC